GAAAGCCUGAUGCAGCGACGCCGCGUGUGGGAUGACGGCCUUCGGGUUGUAAACCACUUUCAGCAGGGAAGAAGCUUUUUGUGACGGUACCUGCAGAAGAAGCGCCGGCUAACUACGUGCCAGCAGCCGCGGUAAUA
rnacentral:rRNA from 1 species